GCCCAGAUAGCUCAGUCAGUAGAGCAUAAGACUUUUAAUCUGAUGGUUCAGGGUUCAAAUCCUUGUUUGGGCG
rnacentral:tRNA from 1 species